CCUCCAGGCCCAGACUGUAGGCCAUCACACGAAGCACCCGGAGACACAGGUCCUUACAGCGCAGGAAGAACGACGACUGAACCUCAAAGAAUCCAUUCCCUCCAUCCCACGAUGGCCAUUUCUACAGACCAGGAAGAGUUGUCCUGGUGAGUUCUGUUCCUAGAUGGAGUUCUAUCAGCCUGGUGAGUUCUGUUCCUAGAUGGAGUUCUAUCAGCCUGGUGAGUUCUGUUCCUAGAUGAAGUUCUAUCAGCCUGGUGAGUUCUGUUCCUAGAUGGAGUUCUAUCAGCCUGGUGAGUUCUGUUCCUAGAUGAAGUUCUAUCAGAGUGGUUGAACUCUGUAUAUGGCUCAGAGUGAAGUCAAUCCCUUUGUACCUUGACCUUAACACUGAUAGCAACAACAACCACAGCAGAGAAGUUGGAUGUGUCUACAGCUGUCGCA